rnacentral:rRNA from 1 species
GUCGAGAAUCUUCCGCAAUGCGCGCAAGCGUGACGGAGCGACGCCGCGUGGGUGAUGAAGGCCUUCGGGUUGUAAAACCCUGUCAGCUACUACGAAACACGGGCGAUGAACAAUCGUCCCGUCUGACUUAAGUAGCAGAGGAAGCACCGGCUAACUACGUGCCAGCAGCCGCGGUAAUACGUAGGGUGCGAACGUUGUUCGGAAUCACUGGGCAUAAAGGGCGCGUAGGCGGUCUGAUAAGUCAGGUGUGAAAUCCCUCGGCCUAACCGAGGAACUGCAUUUGAUACUGUCGGGCUAGAGUACAGGAGGGGAGAGUGGAAUUCCUGGUGGAGCGGUGAAAUGCGUAGAUAUCAGGAGGAACGCCGGCGGCGAAAGCGACUCUCUGGCCUGUUACUGACGCUGAGGCGCGAAAGCUAGGGGAGCAAACGGGAUUAGAUACCCUGGUAGUCC